rnacentral:lncRNA from 1 species
CCUCCGUGUGCCACGCGAACAUGGUCUUCCACAUGCCAAAGUACAGGUAGGGUGUGUUGACUCCCUCGAUGACAACUCCAGAUUCCUGCUCCAACAGAUCCAGAAUGGUUUCCAGGCGCCCAAGGUUCUACUGCUUUGUGUUUUCAUCAAACAAGGAGCCGCUGAUGUCAGCACCAUAAAUGGGGCAACCAUAGAGGCGAUUCUUCCAGUAUUUUCUCUCCAAAUCUUUAAAACUCUGGUGUGGAGGAGUCUGGUACUUUUCACUGUUGGCCAGGUGGCGGUACUCGCCCACCGUCAUGGCUUUCUUCCGUUUAUGGUAUUGAGUAAACACACCUGUCCCCCCAGGGACCACCUGCUGCAGAGGAGUGGCUAUCAUGAGGUCACUGAUGUUGUCAUAGGACUCUCUGGCUCUCCAUCCCUUGGGAGGAAUGACUGUGGCUAAGCCAGCUCUGUGUGCACCCUGGGAUUCCAUGGAAGCAAUGUAUUUGUUGAAAUCUGCAAACUCCUCCGUGGUUGGCCUGAAGGUCAUGACUGUGGACCCUGCAUUCAGGGAACCAGAAUGCUCAGGCUUCAUCCCUGCAGUCUUAUGUGAGCCAGCAGCUCCUGGUUUUUCCAUAGCAGAAGUCUUGUCAAGAAGAACUAACCUCUAAACCUAAAGAAAAUACAGGAGUCUUGCUCUGUGGUUAGGAUGGCCAUGAACUCACAGAAUCCCUCCUGCCUCAACCUCUGAAGUGCUGGGAUUACAGAAGUGUGAAGUGUGCCACUAUGCCAGACUUGUGGAAUUGAUUCUUUGUAACAAUUUAGUGGUAGUAAUUUUUUCAAAAGUAUAAAUAUUCCAACCUGGUCCAACAGAACAGCGAAGGGUUCUACUUUCCAGCAACAAAAUCCUGGUCCCUCUGAAGACACUCCCGCACACUCAGAAAAGGUUUCCCUUGGCAGGGAGUAUCCUGGCUUUAUACCCAGACAACAUUCUGAUUUAAUCAGUGUCCACAGAACAUAAUCAUGGGGAUUAAUUCCUGGUUUCUCUUCCCAC